rnacentral:pre_miRNA from 1 species
AUACUACUCCCUCCGUCCAGAAAUACUUGUCAUCAAAAUAAAUAAAAUGGGAUGUAUCUAGAUGUAUUUUAGUUCUAGAUACAUCCCUUUUUGUCCAUUUUGAUGACAAGUAUUUUCGGACGGAGGGAGUAUAUG